GCCCAGAUAGCUCAGUUGGUAGAGCAGCGGACUGAAAAUUCGCGUGUCGCUGGUUCGAUUCCGGCUCUGGGCA
rnacentral:tRNA from 1 species